UCCACGCCCUAAACGAUGAACACUAGUCGUCGGGAUGCUAGUCAUCUCGGUGAUGCACUUAACAGAUUAAGUGUUCCGCCUGGGGAGUACGGUCGCAAGAUUAAAACUCAAAGGAAUAGACGGGGACCCGCACAAGUGGUGGAGCAUGUGGUUUAAUUCGAAUAUACGCGAAGAACCUUACCUAGCCUUGACAUAUUUUAGAACUCCGUAGAGAUACAGAGGUGCCUUCGGGAGCUAAUUUACAGGUGCUGCACGGCUGUCGUCAGCUCGUGUCGUGAGAUGUUGGGUUAAUCCCG
rnacentral:rRNA from 1 species